rnacentral:rRNA from 1 species
UACAGAGGUCUCAAGCGUUUGUUCGGAUUCAUUGGGGCGUAAAAGGGUGUGUAGGUGGCGCCGUAAGUCGGGGUGUGAAAUUUCGGAGCUUAACUCCGAAACUGCAUUCGAUACUGCGGUGCUUGAGGACUUGGAGAGGAGACUGGAAAUUCAUGGUGUAGCAGUGAAAUGCGUAGAGAUCAUGAGGAAGACCAGUGGCGAAGGCGGGUCUCUGGACAAGUUCCUGGACACUGGAGACACGAAGGCCAGGGGAGCAAAACGGG